GGCUACGGCCAUACCACCCUGAACACGCCCGAUCUCGUCUGAUCUCGGAAGCUAAGCAGGGUCGGGCCUGGUCAGUACUUGGAUGGGAGACCGCCUGGAAUACCAGGUGCUGUAAGCU
rnacentral:rRNA from 1 species